UUAGGUAUAAGUUGAUUGCUUGAUUUUCUGGCGUUUGCUCUGUGUCCUCUUUACAGUGAGACAACAGACGAUGAACAGUUUGGGAAAUUACUGGAGAAAGUUGCAGUUUACCACGUCCACUAGCUUGACCCAUGCAUGGG